rnacentral:piRNA from 1 species
CAUCUCCAAGCAGCCGCCAAUGG